UAGGGAAUAUUGCACAAUGGGCGAAAGCCUGAUGCAGCAACGCCGCGUGCGCGAUGACGGCCUUCGGGUUGUAAAGCGCUUUUCGGGGAGAUGAGGAAGGACAGUAUCCCCGGAAUAAGGCUCGGCUAACUACGUGCCAGCAGCCGCGGUAACACGUAGGAGCCAAGCGUUAUCCGAAUUCACUGGGCGUAAAGCGCGUGUAGGCGGCUUGGUAAGUUGGAUGUGAAAGCUCCUGGCUCAACUGGGAGAGGACGUUCAAUACUGCCGGGCUAGAGGGCGACAGAGGGAGGUGGAAUUCCCGGUGUAGUGGUGAAAUGCGUAGAUAUCGGGAGGAACACCAGUGGCGAAAGCGGCCUCCUGGGUCGCACCUGACGCUCGGACGCGAAAGCUAGGGGAGCGAACG
rnacentral:rRNA from 1 species